rnacentral:rRNA from 1 species
ACUCCUACGGGAGGCAGCAGUGGGGAAUAUUGGACAAUGGGCGGAAGCCUGAUCCAGCAACGCCGCGUGAGGGAUGACUGCCUUCGGGUUGUAAACCUCUUUCAUCAUUGACGAAGCUCAGCGUUUAGUUGGGUGACGGUAGGUGGAGAAGAAGCACCGGCCAACUACGUGCCAGCAGCCGCGGUAAUACGUAGGGUGCGAGCGUUGUCCGGAAUUAUUGGGCGUAAAGGGCUCGUAGGCGGUUUGUCGCGUCGGGAGUGAAAACACUGGGCUUAACCGAGUGCUUGCUUUCGAUACGGGCAGACUAGAGGUAUGCAGGGGAGAACGGAAUUCCUGGUGUAGCGGUGAAAUGCGCAGAUAUCAGGAGGAACACCGGUGGCGAAGGCGGUUCUCUGGGCAUUACCUGACGCUGAGGAGCGAAAGUGUGGGGAGCGAACAGGAUUAGAUACCCUGGUAGUCCACACCGUAAACGUUGGGCGCUAGGUGUGGGGUCUAUUCCAUGGACUCCGUGCCGCAGCUAACGCAUUAAGCGCCCCGCCUGGGGAGUACGGCCGCAAGGCUAAAACUCAAAGGAAUUGACGGGGGCCCGCACAAGCGGCGGAGCAUGCGGAUUAAUUCGAUGCAACGCGAAGAACCUUACCUGGGUUUGACAUAUACCGGAAAGCCUUAGA